GUAGGGGGCAAGCGUUAUCCGGAUUUACUGGGUGUAAAGGGAGCGUAGACGGGACAGCAAGUCUGAUGUGAAAGGCGGGGGCUCAACCCCCGGACUGCAUUGGAAACUGUUGGCCUGGAGUACCGGAGGGGUAAGCGGAAUUCCUAGUGUAGCGGUGAAAUGCGUAGAUAUUAGGAGGAACACCGGUGGCGAAGGCGGCUUACUGGACGGUAACUGACGUUGAGGCUCGAAAGCGUGGGGAGCAAACAGGAUUAGAUACCCUGGUAGUCCACGCCGUAAACG
rnacentral:rRNA from 1 species